GGGGAUGAUUGGUUUCGACUCUGAGAUAGAAGGAUCAUCUGCGUGUAAAGGGAGCCUGUCCCUCAAAACAGGUCGUCCAACUGCGAACGACAACGCGUCCGUUCUCGCCCUCGUGGCGUGAGCCGUCAGCCUAGAGAGAUAGUCCUGGUAUCAAGGCUGGCGUGAAUACAAGGGCUGGCUCACCAAGAAGUCCUGGGUAGGUGAGCGAGGAGUACACGGGAAGUAGGUGACGGCCGAAUCCGUCAACUCAGCCGGUAGGGAUAUAUCGGCUACACACGUGAACGAUGAUGAUCUGGAAGCUUGGAGGACCCGGGUUCGAUUCCCGGCAUCUCCACAG
rnacentral:tmRNA from 1 species